UACGUAGGUGGCAAGCGUUGUCCGGAUUUACUGGCGUAAAGAGCGCGCAGGCGGUCGAUCAAGUCGCGUGUGAAAGCCCCCGGCUCAACUGGGGAGGGUCACGCGAUACUGAUCGACUCGAAGGCAGGAGAGGGUAGUGGAAUUCCCGGUGUAGUGGUGAAAUGCGUAGAUAUCGGGAGGAACACCAGUGGCGAAGGCGACUACCUGGCCUGUUCUUGACGCUGAGGCGCGAAAGCUAGGGGAGCAAACGGG
rnacentral:rRNA from 1 species